rnacentral:rRNA from 1 species
GACGAACGCUGGCGGCGUGCCUAAUACAUGCAAGUAGGACGCAGUUGCGAACGGGUGAGUAACGCGUAGGUAACUACCUAUUAGAGGGGGAUAACUAUUGGAAACGAUAGCUAAUACCGCAUACUAGUAGAUGGACCUGCGUGGUAUUAGCGAGUAGGUAGGGUAAUGGCCUACCUAGGCAACGAUACAUCGCCGACCCGAGAGGGUGAUCGGCCACACUGGGACCGGGACACGGCCCAGAAUCCUACGGGAGGCAGCAGUAGGGAAUCUUCGGCAAUGGGGGGAACGCUGACCGCGCAACUGCGCGGGGGAGGAGAAGGUUUUCGGAUCGUAAAGGUCUGUUGUUAAGGAAGCGGUACUUAACCAGAAAGGGACGGCUAACUACGUGCCAGCAGCCGCGGUAAUAC